rnacentral:tRNA from 1 species
GGGGAUAUAGCUCAGUGGCACAGUGCCUGCCUGGCAAGCUCAAGGUCCUAAGUUCAAUUCCCAGUACCCCCU